rnacentral:RNase_P_RNA from 1 species
UAAGCAGGAUGGAUGAUCGCGGCUGCAAGUGUCGAAAGACCGCAGGUGAGGAAAGUCCGGGCUUCAUAGGGCAGGAUGCCGGCUAACGGCCGGUGGAGGUGACUCCCAGGAAAGUGCAACAGAAAAUUAACCGCCGGGUAACCGGUAAGGGUGGAAAGGCAGUGUAAGAGACUACCGCUGUUCUGGUAACAGGACAGGCUCUGCAAACCCCAUUCGAAGCAAGACCAGACAGAAGCGUUGACGUGGCCCGCUAGCUUCAGGUAGGUCGCUUGAGGCGGCUGGUAACAGUCGUCCUAGAUAGAUGAUCAUUCACGACAGAACCCGGCUUAUAGUCCUGCUUACUUU